AGAGUGAGUGGUUUUGGCUUUCAAGGUGACCAUUGCUUGGAGACUGACUACAGGUUGGUCUGCUUGUAGAGGGUGGAAUGUUAAUUGCUAUUUUCUCAUGAGGUCUGAAUGGAUAUAGAAGCAUCUGCAGGAUGCACACCCAACUCUUGCUGCGCUUAUGAUGCAAAAUGUGGU